UAAUGAAGUAAAGUAUGUAUUUGGACAUAAUCUGUAUCAGUUUACUGAUAUUUUUGAUACUGAGUAUCAUGUGACUUGACAUCACAUCAUUGGUUCAGCGAAAACAAGGAAAAAAAAAAAAUCUUUUUUCCUCCUCUCUCACAUAUCAUUUUUCUUUCGUUCUCUUCUAUAAACCUAGAAAAUCAGAACAAUAAGCGACAAGGUAUGACAGAACUGAACCUAAAAACCUAUUUUUAUUUCGUUUUUAUAUAUUUAUUUUCGAUGUUGCAAUUUUUUUU
rnacentral:sRNA from 1 species